rnacentral:rRNA from 1 species
CUCUGCCCCGGGUGCGUCGCANCCCCGGACCAAGGCGCCCGCCGGAGGACCAACCAAAACUCUUUUUGUAUACCCCCUCGCGGGUUUUUUAUAAUCUGAGCCUUCUCGGCGCCUCUCGUAGGCGUUUCGAAAAUGAAUCAAAACUUUCAACAACGGAUCUCUUGGUUCUGGCAUCGAUGAAGAACGCAGCGAAAUGCGAUAAGUAAUGUGAAUUGCAGAAUUCAGUGAAUCAUCGAAUCUUUGAACGCACAUUGCGCCCGCCAGUAUUCUGGCGGGCAUGCCUGUCCGAGCGUCAUUUCAACCCUCGAACCCCUCCGGGGGGUCGGCGUUGGGGAUCGGCCCUGCCUCUUGGCGGUGGCCGUCUCCGAAAUACAGUGGCGGUCUCGCCGCAGCCUCUCCUGCGCAGUAGUUUGCACACUCGCAUCGGGAGCGCGGCGCGUCCACAGCCGUUAAACACCCAACUUCUGAAAUGUUGACCUCGGAUCAGGUAGGAAUACCCGCUGAACUUAAGCAUAUCAAUAAGCGGAGGAAAAGAA